UAUUUAAAGUAUAUUUAGAGUUUAUACCCGGUGGUGCGGUAAAAAACGUUUCUAUACUAUUAAUUGUUUAGUACUAGAAAUAUGUUCAUGUAUUUGAAAUAUUUUGGUUGGUUAUUUUGGGUAAUUUGUUUAAUAUUUGCUUACAGAAGCACUUCAAGAAACUAGGUACGGGAGUUAAAAAAAAAUAAAAAAUAAAAAUUCACUUUUCAUAUAUGUUAAAACUAUAUUUGUAAUAUACACUCAGUAAUAUGAGGAUAAGUGUACGCAGUUAUAAUCGGGGUUCGAUUUGCUGCCGGAAAGCCAUUUGACGCGGCCGUUCUCGUCCGGAAAACAGUGCUAAA